rnacentral:rRNA from 1 species
UAAUCCUACGGGGGGCAGCAGUGGGGGAUAUUGCACAAUGGGGGAAACCCUGAUGCAGCGACGCCGCGUGAGUGAAGAAGUAUUUCGGUACGUAAAGCUCUAUCAGCAGGGAAGAAAAAUGACGGUACCUGACUAAGAAGCCCCGGCUAACUACGUGCCAGCAGCCGCGGUAAUACGUAUGGUGCAAGCGUUAUCCGGAUUUACUGGGUGUAAAGGGAGCGCAGGCGGUGCGGCAAGUCUGAUGUGAAAGCCCGGGGCCCAACCCCGGAACUGCUCUGGAAACUGUGCGGCUAGAGUACUGGAGG